UUAAGUGUUUUUUAAUAUUUUGUAUUGUAUAAUAUAGUCGUUGUUUUAGCAACUAUGGUGAUAAACAUUGUGAUUAAUAGGCGCUGCGGACUCGGGGGCAGAGCCCGACAUCUCCACCAUUUUGAGGGGAUGAAUAGAUUCGACGCACGUUGAAAAGCAUGAUUUUCACUCGGUAUGGUUUCCGUUAUAGAACCGAAAAUAUAAAUGCGAACGAUAAUUUUGUCGCAUGCAACGAUAACUUUGAAAAUGAGGCCAUUGCCAAGUUUGCCUAGUUAGAGUAGACGCGGUCUGGGGAGCCGGGCAACAGAAAUCCCCAUU
rnacentral:tmRNA from 1 species